UCUAGCAUGUGCGCGAGUCAUUGGGACUCUGAUAAACCUAAAGGCGCAAUGAAAGUAAAGGUCCGCCUUGCGCGGACCGAGGGAGGAUGGGUCCGUUCUCGAACGGGCCCCGCACUCCCGGGGCGUCUCGUUCUCAUCGCGAGAUGAGGCGCACCCAGAGCGUACACGCUGGGACCCGAAAGAUGGUGAACUAUGCCUGGUCAGGACGAAGUCAGGGGAAACCCUGAUGGAGGUCCGUAGCGAUUCUGACGUGCAAAUCGAUCGUCGGAACUGGGUAUAGGGGCGAAAGACUAAUCGAAC
rnacentral:rRNA from 1 species